rnacentral:rRNA from 1 species
GAUUAACGCUGGCGGCGUGCAUAACACAUGCAAGUCGAACGAUUAAACUUAGUAGACUUCUUCGUAAAGACACUAAGCGGAUUAGUGUCGAACGGGUGAGUAACGCUUGAGUAACCUGCCUUACACAAGGGGGUAGCCUUUGGAAACGAAGAAUAAGAGCCUAUAAAACCAUAAAAGCACAUUCUAGAAUGGUCAAAGUGAUAGCGGUGUAAGAUGGACUUGCGUCUGAUUAGCUAGUUGGUGAGAUAAAAGCUCACCAAGGCAACGAUCAGUAGCCGGCUCGAGAGAGUGUACGGCCAUAUUGGGACUGAGACCAGUCCCAGACUCUGACGGGAGGCAGCAGUGGUGAACUUUGCACAAUGGGUGAAAGCAUGAUGCCGUGACGCCGUGUGAUUCAGAAGGCCGUCGGGUUGUAAAAAUAUUUUGUAUCGGAAGAAAAUGACAUUACUAUCAGAAUAAGGUCCGGCUAAGUACGUG